GGCAAAGCGAACUGCAACUUCACUAACGCGGGCACAGACUGUGCUCUGCUUCUACCGUCGUGCCACCGCUGUAGCACGCUUACUUCCGUUCGGCACCACCAGCGCACCUUAAAGAUGGGAAGAAGAAAACAUAAGAGAAAAAGUCAGCUCCAUGCGAUCAAAGCUGCCAUGAGACCAAUCCGCGAAGCACCACCAGCAAAUCUACACCCCCCGUACACUAGGGUUGUUGCUAAUGGUCCACUAUUAAGGGCAGGCCCGUGUUGCUCUCCUGCUCGUUCUAGCGCUUUUCAUUCCCGGAUUGUAGGCUCAAGGAAGUUGGGAUUGUUUAAAAUCGCCGUGUCGUUCUCGACAGUCGUUUUCUAGAUCUUGCCUAUCGCCAUCAUUCUGGUGCUGGAUGAAAAUGCGCGGCAGGCAGUGUGAUCCUGGUAGACACACCGCUUUGGGCGAAAAAGCUGCAAGAUCAACGGGGCGCGAAGCGCUUCCAAUCGAACCAACACACGAGGCGCUAUGCGAUGCGAUGGGCAGAGCAGAUUCGAUGAUUCUUGAGGAGGUGAGCGAGAACCGGUAUGGUAACCGAUCGGAGCGACGCAAAUACCGAGCGAUUUCGUGGAAAAGACUCGCGUUAUUGAGGGAUAAGCAAUAGAUAAAAGCCGUCCAGGCGGUAGAUUAUGUAGGAAUAAAAAAAAAACUCGUGAUCCGUGUUUCAACGAACGGCGGAGCGGCGCGGCGGUUGUGAAAUUAACGCACAAACACACAUACAUACAACCGGGUGCAGGUGUGUUGGGCCCCCUUGGAUGGAUAGAACCACCUUAAAAAUUGUGGCCACUUUCCGGCGCGCAGCAUAUCUUAUCCUCUUGACACUUUUUUGCUCUUUACGCUGCUGUUCGCGACCGUAGACCGGCCUAGAGCCCUCUAGCAACACCGGGACAACCUAUCUGAUCGGAGUUCUUAAAUACUUCGACUGCGGUAAGGGGGCCACAUGAAGCGGAAGAUAUUUUUUCUUCAUUCCACAGCCACCAGCCAACAAUCAGAGGAACCAAUUACUCCCGACAAACACGACGCACACAUACACAUGCACACUCGUCACGCACACACAUUGGCCGAGCGGUGGCCUGAAGCGCU